AAGGGAGACCUAAUUCAGGUAGGAGACGAAAAAAAAGUAGUCCCUACCAGGAAUCAAUCCCAAAAGGUCGGAGCGAGGCGAAAUUGGCUUUCAAACUAGGUUCUGGGUUCAAACAAGACCUGAAUCGGGAACAAGGGCUAUUAGCUCAGGUGGUUAGAGCGCACCCCUGAUAAGGGUGAGGUCCCUGGUUCGAGUCCAGGAUGGCCCACCUGCACAGGUGGCAAAAACAAGAGAAGCUCCGAAUCAGCACCUGCUCUUACCUACAUAGUAAGAGAGAAUGCUGGCUCUGAGUACAGAGUCCAGAGGAACCUUGAAAACUGCAUAGAGCUAGGUGAAAAAGCCAAAAAAGAAGACCGCAA
rnacentral:tRNA from 1 species